rnacentral:rRNA from 1 species
CCUACGGGUGGCAGCAGUGAGGAAUAUUGGUCAAUGGACGGAAGUCUGAACCAGCCAUGCCGCGUGCAGGAAGACGGCUCUAUGAGUUGUAAACUGUUUUUGUACAAGGGUAAACCUGAAUACGUGUAUUCAGCUGAAAGUACUGUACGAAUAAGGAUAGGCUAACUCCGGGCCAGCAGACGCGGUAAUACGGAGGAUCCAAGCUUUACCCGGAUUGAUUGGGUUUAAAGGGUACGUAGGCGGAUUGAUAAGUUAGAGGUGAAAUGUCCGGGCUUAACUCGGGAACUGCCUCUAAUACUGUUGAGCUAGAGAGUAGAUGCGGUAGGCAGAAUGUAAGGUGUAGCGGUGAAAUGCGUAGAGAUCAUACAGAACACCGAUUGCGAAGGCAGCUUACCAAUAUAGAUCUGACGUUGAGGCACGAAAGCGUGGGGAGCAAACAGGAUUAGAUACCCGAGUAGUC